UACGAAGGGGCGAGCGUUGUUCGGAUUUACUGGCGUAAAGGACGCGCAGGCGGUCUUGAAAGUCAGGCGUGAAAGCCCCGGGCUUAACCUGGGAACUUGCGCUUGAUACUCUGAGACUGGAGUACGGGAGAGGAGAGUGGAAUUCCCAGUGUAGAGGUGAAAUUCAUAGAUAUUGGGAAGAACACCAGUGGCGAAGGCGGCUCUCUGGACCGUAACUGACGCUGAGGCGCGAAAGCGUGGGGAGCAAACAGG
rnacentral:rRNA from 1 species